rnacentral:rRNA from 1 species
GUGAGGAAUAUUGGUCAAUGGGCGAAAGCCUGAACCAGCCAUGUCGCGUGAAGGAUGAAGGUCCUAUGGAUUGUAAACUUCUUUUGCAGGAGGGUAAAGUGAGCUACGUGUAGUUCAUUGCAAGUACCCUGCGAAUAAGCAUCGGCUAACUCCGUGCCAGCAGCCGCGGUAAUACGGAGGAUGCGAGCGUUAUCCGGAUUUAUUGGGUUUAAAGGGUGCGUAGGCGGACUAAUUAGUCAGCGGUGAAAUUUUGCGGCUCAACCGUAAAACUGCCGUUGAAACUGUUAGUCUUGAGUGCGGUAGAGGUAGGCGGAAUGUGUGGUGUAGCGGUGAAAUGCUUAGAUAUCACACAGAACACCGAGUGCGUAGGCAGCUUACUGGAGCGCAACUGACGCUGAGGCACGAAAGCGUGGGGAUCGAACAGGAUUAGAAACCCCUGUAGUCC